UACGAAGGGGGCUAGCGUUGUUCGGAAUUACUGGGCGUAAAGCGCGCGUAGGCGGUGAUCUUUGUCAGAGGUGAAAGCCCGGGGCUCAACUCCGGAAUUGCCUUUGAAACGGGAUCGCUAGAGUCCGAGAGAGGAUGGCGGAAUUCCUAGUGUAGAGGUGAAAUUCGUAGAUAUUAGGAAGAACACCGGUGGCGAAGGCGGCCAUCUGGCUCGGUACUGACGCUCAGGCGCGAAAGCGUGGGUAGCAAACAGG
rnacentral:rRNA from 1 species